rnacentral:ncRNA from 1 species
UAAAGGUUUGGUCCCAGCCUUUCUAUUAAUUAUAAACAAACUUACACAUGCAAGCAUCCGCACUCCAGUGAGAAUGCCCUAUAAAUCACCCCAUGAUAUAAAGGAGCAGGUAUCAAGCACACCACUAGGCAGCUCAUGACACCUUGCUAAACCACACCCCCACGGGAAACAGCAGUGAUAAAAAUUAAGCAAUAAACGAAAGUUUGACUAAGUUAUGUUUAUUCUGGGUUGGUAAAUUUCGUGCCAGCCACCGCGGUCAUACGAUUAACCCAAUUAAUAGAACCACGGCGUAAAACGUGUUUAAGAAUUCUAAAUAAUAAAGUCAAACUCUAACUAUGCUGUAAAAAGCCCCAGCUACUGUAAGACCUAUAACGAAAGUAACUUUAAAUUAUCUGAACACACGAUAGCUAAGACCCAAACUGGGAUUAGAUACCCCACUAUGCUUAGCCCUAAACUUAAAGAGAUGAUACAACAAAACUCUUUGCCAGAGUACUACUAGCCAAAGCUUAAAACUCAAAGGACUUGGCGGUGCUUUAUAUCCUUCUAGAGGAGCCUGUUCUAUAAUCGAUAAACCCCGAUAAACCUCACCAAUCCUUGCCAAAUCAGCCUAUAUACCGCCAUCCUCAGCAAACCCUGAAAAAGGUCAAAGAGUAAGCUCAAUUACAACAUGUAAAAACGUUAGGUCAAGGUGUAGUCUAUGGAUUGGAAAGACAAUGGGCUACAUUUCCUACAUAAUAGGAUAUUACUAAAAUUUACACGAAAGUUCCUAUGAAAUUAAGAACUGAAGGUGGAUUUAGCAGUAAACUAAGAAUAGAGUGCUUAGUUGAAUUAAGGCCAUGAAGCACGCACACACCGCCCGUCACCCUCCUCAAAUACUAGCGGUACUUACAACCCUAUUACAAUUAACCAAAACUACUAGAGGAGAUAAGUCGUAACAAGGUAAGCAUACUGGAAAGUGUGCUUGGAUAACU